CCCUGCCUGCUCCGCACGGCCCAGGCCCCAGGCCCGUGGCCCAAGGCGUGGGGAAGGAGGAAGUGGCUGCUUUCCCUAACACAACACAGGAUUUUCGCGCUCUCCGAACACCUUCACUACGAAAUCCAGGUCAAUUACUUGACGUGGCCUCUUACUAGAAACAUCAGAAGUGGAUUUUGUAUGUUUAGGGACUACAAUGAACAAAACAACAUGAAAUUAAAUCAAAUAUAAGGGGAAAUGAUGCUAUGAAGAAUCACAGUAGAUAUGAGAUGAAUGAGGCUACUGCCUGCAUGAAACACUAUGAUGUACAGUGGUUAUAACACCUUUAUUGUAUAUGUGGUCUGUCAAUUGACUGAAUAUGCAGUGCUGGACUGUAUAGGGAAAGAUGAAGGUUUCUCAAACCUAUCACCAUUGCCAUACAGCAUGGAUUGAAAUGAAGGUCCUAACCCUUGAAAGGACUCAAAUGAUGGUUAAUUUUAUGUGUCAACUUGACUGCACCAUGGGGUGCUCAGAUAUUUUUGUGGGACAUGAACUUUUAAAUUGCUAGAUAGAGUAUAAAGCAAAUUGCCUCCGUAAUGUGGCUGGGCCUCAUCCAAAUUGAAGACCUGAAUGGAACGAAAGGCUGAUCCUGCCAUGAGUAAAAUGAAAUUUUUUUGUUUUUGUUUUUGUUUUUGUUUUUGUUUUUUUUGACUGAAAGCCUUCAUCCUGGGACACUGGAUUUUCCCCUAACUUUGGAUUCAUGCUCCACCAUCAACAUUCCUAGUUCCUAAGCCUUUGAACUCAUACUGGAACAAAACCACUGAUUUUCCUGUGUCUACAGUGUGCCAACUCAUCCUGAAAACCUUGGUACAUCCUGAGAAUCAUAUGAGAAUCAUGGAAGUAUUCCUUUGAAUGAUACCUUCAUUCCAAGCACAACAUCACGACCAUUGCUUCACGGAUCUGAUCUUCCACUGGUCACAGACCAAUGCUUUCCCAAAUUUCCACAUGCUGCAAUAAAUGGUGGCAAGUUGUUGAUCAGAAGAUCCGAGUCACCCCAACCAGUGAGCCAAGCUUUCUCUAUGCUGCUCUCUGUUACCAGGUUAUCUUCUCCACUGCA